UACAACAUAGUGUUAAUGCACUAGAUCCUAUUAGAACUUCGCAGUUAAGCGUGCUCGGGCUAGAGUAGCACUGGGAUGGGUGAUCGCCUAAGAGGUCCUAGUGUUUUAA
rnacentral:rRNA from 1 species